UUUGUUCAAUAUGGAAGAAAAAAAAAUUAAACUUUUCUAGAUCGGCUGUGUUGUUGUUGUUAUGCUUAAAGUUCCGCAAAAUUGGGUGUGAAAUUAAAAAUGAGGAUGAGGGUUUUUCAAAAGUUUUGUGUUGUUGUGUUUCUGGGUUAAGUUUUGGCAGCAAAGGAGGUUGUUGUUGUUGUUGAUAGAUUUGUUUGUUGAUGAUUUGGGGUUGUUCUGAUAGGUUUGUGUUUGUUGAAGAUGUGUUGAAUGAGUUUGUUAAAGAAUUGUUUGUUGAGGAUGAUUGUUAAAUACUCCCUCCGUCCCAAAUUGUAU
rnacentral:lncRNA from 1 species